rnacentral:rRNA from 1 species
GACGAACGCUGGCGGCGUGCCUAAUACAUGCAAGUAGAACGCACAGUUUAUACCGUAGCUUGCUACACCAUAGACUGUGAGUUGCGAACGGGUGAGUAACGCGUAGGUAACCUGCCUGGUAGCGGGGGAUAACUAUUGGAAACGAUAGCUAAUACCGCAUAAUAUUAAUUAUUGCAUGAUAAUUAAUUGAAAGGUGCAAUUGCACCACUACCAGAUGGACCUGCGUUGUAUUAGCUAGUAGGUGAGGUAACGGCUCACCUAGGCGACGAUACAUAGCCGACCUGAGAGGGUGAUCGGCCACACUGGGACUGAGACACGGCCCAGACUCCUACGGGAGGCAGCAGUAGGGAAUCUUCGGCAAUGGACGAAAGUCUGACCGAGCAACGCCGCGGGAGUGAAGAAGGUUUUCGGAUCGUAAAGCUCUGUUGUAAGAGAAGAACGGGUGUGAGAGUGGAAAGUUCACACUGUGACGGUAUCUGACCAGAAAGGGACGGCUAACUACGUG